GGCUGUUUUUAUAUUAUGCUACUCUGGAUCUUAUUUAAACCAGUGUUAGCUGACUUUGUCUGAUGAUGCUCUGGCAUAAGAAGGGAGGAGAGGACACUGCUUCAUUACUGCCAGGUGGAGGUCGAAGUUCAAGUUCUCCAUUUUGUCUGCACCGACACCUGAGGGCCAAGCCAGCAAGCACUACCUCCAUGCUUAUCCCCAGGAUGUGACCAAGGAAAGUGGUAUCUCCUGGCAGUGGAUUAACUGGGAAAGGCACAUUGGGAGGUGCACAGCAGACAUACCUGGGGGCCUAGGAACUAUAUGCCCACCAACCCAAUAUUCUGAUAUAACACACCCUCAAGAAAUAAAAAUCUUGCCCUGGUUGGAUAUCACUGUGAUGGGAAACAGGGAAGAAUGGGUAGUAUCAGAUGAUGGGCGAAAGGAGCUGCAUUUUUUUUUUUUUUAACUAGUGGAAGGAUGAUAAUAUAACAGGGCCCUUGAAGGAGAUCAUGUAGUAAUAAAACACAGUCCAUGUGAUUUGGAGUCAGUCAUAUUUCUACCCCAUAGAAGUACAUUGUCCAGAAUAGUAAACACAAAUGGUUAUUUAUAUUUAAACUAAUUAAAUUUAAAUUAAAAAUUAAAACUUA